GCUUGCCCAGCUGAGGCAUUGGAGCAGGGCAUUUUGAUAGUGGCUGGAGGGCAGGCAGCUCAACCUCUAAACCCCCCUGGUCUGGGCACCAAGUCCUGUCCUGGGCACGGGACACAGUCCUCCAGCGAGACCAAACCCAGCUUCUCUACAGCACCAGGAAGAAGGCAAGCUGGGCCACCAGGGCGCGGCCCCAGGAAGGAAAAUCCUCCAUGGUCCUGUUGACAGAUGUGGUAUCAAAUGAAUUGUUCUCUGCUUAGACACGACUUUGAUAUUUAUUGGUUCAAAUUGCUCGGCUGACUCAGUCUUGCGGACUCUGAUUACACUGGACCUAUCCAAGAUCUGAGAUCAUCAACUCAUCUCAAAAUCCUUAAGCUGACCACAGCAGCAUCGUCCCUUUUGCAGUGUAAGGGAGCCCAGCUGGGACAAUGUGUGAAUCAACGCAUGAAGGAGUGAGUGAGCAGCUAACCAAAUGAAAGAAUACUCAGAUAUCUGGGGUACAGUUCCCCUCCAGGUUUGCACAGCAUCUGCUGAAGUCUCCACUAGAAACUCAAUGGAAGGUCC
rnacentral:lncRNA from 1 species